rfam:Caenorhabditis brenneri strain PB2801 C_brenneri-6.0.1_Cont34.27, whole genome shotgun sequence.
AGCUGAUUUCUCUACAGGUGAUAAUUCCAUCGAGUGUUUAUCACCGGGAGUAAAUCUGCUCU